rnacentral:rRNA from 1 species
GAUGAACGCUGACCGAAUGCUUAACACAUCAGCAAUUGAUUGGUGGCGGACGGGUGAGUAACGCGUAAAGAACUUGCCUCACAGGUAGGGACAACAUUUGGAAACGAAUGCUAAUACCUAAUACUGUGAGCGAGCUUUGCGUCCCAUUAGCUAGUUGGAAAGGUAACGGCUCACCAAGGCGAUGAUGGGUAGCCGGCCUGAGGGGGGGAUCGGCCACAAGGGGAUUGGGACACGGCCCGUACACCUGCGGGAGGCAGGAGUGAGGAAUAUCGGACAAGGGGCCAAAGUGUGAUCCAGUAAUUAAGUUUGCACGAUGAAGUUUUCGGAAUGUAAAGUGCGGUCGGUUAGGAAGGGGUACCUAUAGAAGAAGUGACUGCUGACGACGUUCCAGCAGCCGCGGUAAUAC